UACGGGGGGGGCAAGCGUUGUUCGGAAUUACUGGGCGUAAAGGGCUCGUAGGCGGCCAACUAAGUCAGACGUGAAAUCCCUCGGCUUAACCGGGGAACUGCGUCUGAUACUGGAUGGCUUGAGUUUGGGAGAGGGAUGCGGAAUUCCAGGUGUAGUGGUGAAAUGCGUAGAUAUCUGGAGGAACACCGGUGGCGAAGGCGGCAUCCUGGACCAACACUGACGCUGAGUGAGUGAAAGCCAGGGGAGCAAACGGG
rnacentral:rRNA from 1 species